ACUGUCACGGUAUGACUGCAAGUUUGUUUGGCGAGGCUUUUCGAACUUGAAGAGGAUGAAAGAUUCUGAGAUGCCUCAAGAUAUACUGGUACACCAAGAAAGCUGUCCUGAUCUUGGCACAGGCGGUACCAUAAGAUCCAAAGAAAGAGUAGAAACUUGCAUCAGUCCAUCAGAUGGUCAUGAAAGAAUGGAGGCAACCUUGCGUCAGAAAAUCUGUCUGACUGUUCUGCCAGGAGCAACAUACAUGAACAAGAGACCAGCUCCAGCAAGAAACCAAAGUACUCUAAAACUAACACCAAGGACUCGAGAGCAUUGAGUUCUGAAUGCCAGAUGUCUGUCUGUAACUUAGAGAUGCAAGGCUCUGCAAACAGUGUGGAGAGCCUGGAGACAGAUAUAGGCUAUGGAAGUAGAGAUAGCCCUGAUUGCCUUCUUCUCAGAACUCAGGAUGGGGAGAAUUGUGCAAGUGGACAAUACUUUGAACAAGAAGACCUGCCAUCUAUGAUACAUUAUGGUACAACUUGGAUGUCCCCCUCAGACAGUCCAACUGAAGAUCUCCUGUUU